UAUCGAUGCUCCUUCUAGAUUAUUGCUUAUUUAUAGAUCGCCUGAGAUGACUAAAUUAUGUUUUAUAGUUUGCUUUGACUUCAAUGGUUCGAGUUUUGACCUGGACCAGGUAGUUCAAGUAACAUUGCAUUGUUUGAAUACCGUUAAAUGAUGAAUUAUCAUAUGGAGGAACUAUAUGUAGCAUCUGGACUUCAUCCUACCCUUUUCUGUUGUAUACUUGCAAAGAGCCAAAUGGAAAUUCAACAGAUUCAGUUCACCAUCUAAAUUCA